AGAGAUAAAGCUCAGUGGUAGAGAGCUUGCCUGCCAUGCAUGAGGCCCUGGGUUCAAUCCCGAUACUCUC
rnacentral:tRNA from 1 species